AUACGAAGGGGGCAAGCGUUGUUCGGAAUAACUGGGCGUAAAGCGCACGUAGGCGGAAUGUUAAGUUAGAGGUGAAAUCCCAGGGCUCAACCCUGGAACGGCCUUUAAUACUGGCAAUCUAGAGACCGAGAGAGGUGAGUGGAAUUCCGAGUGUAGAGGUGAAAUUCGUAGAUAUUCGGAGGAACACCAGUGGCGAAGGCGGCUCACUGGCUCGGUACUGACGCUGAGGUGCGAAAGCGUGGGUAGCAAACGGGAUUAGAAACCCCAGUAGUCC
rnacentral:rRNA from 1 species